UACGUAGAGGGCGAGCGUUAUCCGGAUUCACUGGGUGUAAAGGGAGCGUAGACGGCCAAGCAAGCCAGGGGUGAAAGCCCGGGGCCCAACCCCGGGACUGCCCUUGGAACUGCAUGGCUGGAGUGCGGGAGGGGCAGGCGGAAUUCCUGGUGUAGCGGUGAAAUGCGUAGAUAUCAGGAGGAACACCGGCGGCGAAGGCGGCCUGCUGGACUGCGACUGACGUUGAGGCUCGAAAGCGUGGGGAGCGAACAGG
rnacentral:rRNA from 1 species